rfam:Kluyvera intestini strain GT-16 tig00000000, whole genome shotgun sequence.
CGCUAUACUAGCCGUCGAAAUUGUAGGUCCACCGCUUCGGACUCGCUUUCAAUGUGU